ACCGUGACGUUUUGGCACCGCGAGUACCAUGCAACACUAAAUGUUUAAAUCACAGUCCUACGUUGUAUACGCCUCCCUGUAAUUCACUCACUCAUUAGGAUACUCUGCUCAGGCCGUGACUAGCAGAGACAACCAUGUUGCUGCUAAUCAGUGUGCUAGCAGCAGCAGGGCAUUAUAAUUCAUUACUUGUGUUGUUGUUGUUGUUGUUGUUGUGAAUGUACGGCAGGCUGUAGCCAACAAUAUAUAGCGCAAUUCAUUACUUCUGGGAAACGUUUGAAGAGCAACAGGCUUCCUCCAAGCAGCACAGCAGAGAAGUGGGUGUAAUGCGGAAGACAUAGCCAGGUCAAACCAACCAAUAGAAACUCUUCUCUCGUCCACCAGCGUAGGCCCCGCCCAUCAAGUGCAGUUGAAUUUGCAAGCAAAGAGGACUGAUUUAUAAGCAAAAUGGUCGUAUGUUUUUACUUACAAACAUUAGUUUUGAUUGAAAUUGAAGAAAUAUGUUCUAAUAUAUUUUUUUUUCAAUUGCAACCUGUUCUGUUUCCAUCUCAAAAAAAUCUUUUGAUUGCCACUUACUCUUUUUUGCUCUUAAAUCUCUUUUUUGAUUUCAAAUCUAUUCUAUUUGAUUGAAUAAUAAAGGAACAGAAUUCUCUCCAUAUCUGGACAGCUCUUCACAUGGUAAAGGUAUUAGGUGGUGUUUAAAUCUCCACUUUGCUUUGAGCACAGUACCAAAGGCUCUGUAGUAAAUGGCAGAAGACGAAGGCCUGCACCAAGGAGCCAUUGAGGAGACCACGCUGGGAAUAUGUGCUGUGAAACACAGAGAUGCCACUGAUAGACCACAGGACAUUGGGAUUGUCCUGGAGGGCCAGGUGGUACUGCAUGAUCUGGACAACGUUGCCUUAGCUGUUGCCAUGCUGUUAAGUACUGUUUCAAAGUGCUCCAGAAGGUUGUGAUGGAGCUGGACGGCAACACACUGUCAAAGAAAGCCCAGGCUCUCAAAAACAGACUCCAACAGUGAGCUGUUGCCAUUUAAUGGCAAGAUGGAUACAACAGAGUCUCCCUAUCUUCUUUUGGAAUAUGGACCAUUGCUGCUUUUUCAUUGGACUGGACUUUUAACACUUACGCAUUUCACUUGCGCUGCCUUAAUGUAUGUUCUUGUUUAUAGCGAGUGUUGUGUAUUGUUUUCAGCAGAUUUGUUUCUCAGUGUCAUGUGUUGCAAAAUGUGCCUUUUUCAUUUGGGUGUCAGCAUUUGUCAGAUGUGUGUUGAAUAGAGCUCCAACAGUUUCCCCUAUUUUCAAAUCUGGAGGUGAUUUUUUGGUUUUUGCACAUUCUAAACUGAAAUGUAGUAGUGGUGGGAAAGCAAGCCAUUACUUUUAAUUUUAUUACACUUUAUUUUCAAAACCCUUGCAGUUAAAGGAGAAAAUUAAUUGUUCAAGCACUGGAUCUACAUUUGCCAGGACAAUAAUGGUUUUCUUACAUUUGUUCUUUUAUUUUGUUGAAAAAUUGUAAAUGUAGUAAAUGUUUUUUGCACAUAUUUUGCAAGACAUUCCUGCAUUAAUCUGGUCAUUGUAUUAUUCUCUUGAUGCUGGUUAGAAGUAAUUCAGAAGGUGUUUUAAGGACCAGCAGUGUUGCCUCAGGUUGUAGCAGUCAUGAAUGUUUACUACACACUGUUGAUAACUAGGGUUUCUUGUGAAAGAAAAGGGUGCUUUGUUCUAAUAUGAGAUUUGU